UACGGAGGGGGCAAGCGUUAUUCGGAAUUACUGGGCGUAAAGGGCGCGCAGGCGGCUGCUCAAGUCAGGCGUGAAAGCCCCGGGCUCAACCUGGGAACAGCGCUUGAGACUGGCACGCUCGAGUUCGGGAGAGGAUGGUGGAAUUCCCAGUGUAGAGGUGAAAAUUCGUAGAUAUUCGCAAGAACACCAGUGGCGAAGGCGGCUCACUGGCCCGAUACUGACGCUGAGGUGCGAAAGCGUGGGGAGCAAACAGGG
rnacentral:rRNA from 1 species